rnacentral:rRNA from 1 species
ACUCCUACGGGAGGCAGCAGUAGGGAAUUUUCGGCAAUGGGGGAAACCCUGACCGAGCAACGCCGCGUGAAGGAAGAAGUAAUUCGUUAUGUAAACUUCUGUCAUAGAGGAAGAACGGUGGAUAUAGGGAAUGAUAUCCAAGGACG